UUUUAUUCUACUUCAUUCAUUCAACUGAAGGACAGAGCGCCUCCGAAGUGCCCUGGACACAAAGGUUCCUCAUCUGCCACCAACGGAGCUGCUUGUUGAAACUGAUGAAGGAUAUUUCACUAUGAACUGGAAGAACAGACCAACAUUUCUUUAAUAUAGAAAGAGUACUAUACACAACUUUUCCUCAGCUGUACUUGGCUGGGGGGACCUAAGCCCAGGUCACACUGUGUUUCCAUGAAGCAGCCAGG